AUUGAACGCUGGCGGCAGGCCUAACACAUGCAAGUCGAACGUAACAGGAAGCAGCUUGCUGCUUUGCUGACGAGUGGCGGCCGGGUGAGUAAUGUCUGGGAAACUGCCUGAUGGAGGGGGAUAACUACUGGAAACGGUAGCUAAUACCGCAUAACGUCGCAAGACCAAAGAGGGGGACCUUCGGGCCUCUUGCCAUCGGAUGUGCCCAGAUGGGAUUAGCUAGUAGGUGGGGUAACGGCUCACCUAGGCGACGAUCCCUAGCUGGUCUGAGAGGAUGACCAGCCACACUGGAACUGAGACACGGUCCAGACUCCUACGGGAGGCAGCAGUGGGGAAUAUUGCACAAUGGGCGCAAGCCUGAUGCAGCCAUGCCGCGUGUAUGAAGAAGGCCUUCGGGUUGUAAAGUACUUUCAGCGGGGAGGAAGGGAGUAAAGUUAAUACCUUUGCUCAUUGACGUUACCCGCAGAAGAAGCACCGGCUAACUCCGUG
rnacentral:rRNA from 1 species